rnacentral:rRNA from 1 species
UCAGUAACACGUAGUCAACAUGCCCAGGGACGUGGAUAACCUCGGGAAACUGAGUGAUAAACCGCGAUAAGUCACUACUUCUGGAAUGGGUAAUGACUCAAACCUAUAUGGCCCCUGGAUUGGACUGCGGCCGAUCAGGCUGUUGGUGAGGUAAUGGCCCACCAAACCUGUAACCGGUACGGGCUCUGAGAGGAGGAGCCCGGAGAUGGGCACUGAGACAAGGGCCCAGGCCCUAUGGGGCGCAGCAGGCGCGAAACCUCUGCAAUAGGCGAAAGCUUGACAGGGUUACUCUGAGUGAUUUCCGUUAAGGAGAUCUUUUGGCACCUCUAAAAAUGGUGCAGAAUAAGGGGUGGGCAAGUCUGGUGCCAGC